UUCAUUCUUUCGUUUUUCAACUGCCAAUCGAAAACAGAAAAUUAAAAAUGAGACUGACAAUUCCGUUUUUCGUUUUCUUAAUCCAACAUGAAAAACGAAUAUAUGCCUGUUUUUUCAUAUUUCGAUUUGAGGCUCAGAUCAAAAAGACGAAACGGAAAAACGGGCCGCUUGACUGAAUUUGAUUUUUAUAUUUCAUCGUUUGUAUUUACGUGACCCGGAAGUUCUGUGGGCUAAUGAGAAUUACCAGCAUACAGGUACUACGAGAGGUACCGAUCGCAGCCAUGGAUAGCUAUGUCUUGUUUCGAGGAGCCAAGAGUGUCACCCUGAAGGAGGAGGACAUGAAUGCUGACAAAAUCAGCAGAAUUUUCCAGGUCUAGUGGUUGAGCCCAUGGUGUCAUCGUGUUGCCACAACGUUGUUGGCUGCAGGAUCUGCAUUGAACAAUGGCAGAAAAAUUCUACAACUUGCCCAAAAUGUCGAGGGGAUGAGUUUGACCUCAAUAUGCAAAAACUCUCCGGACUGUCUGAUGCAUUGGCUGUGCUGGAAAACACACUCUACUAGUUAAACUAUACAAUAUAUAGUCAUGCUGUGAAUUGUUCAGAUUGUUUCCACUUGACUGUUUUUUGCAUUCAAAGCAAUUUUGACUUGUGUGAAUGUCUGUGCAUCUAAUUAUUUUAUCUGUUCCCAGUGUCUCUUGACAGUUGUGCUCAGGUAUCUCAAGUUUUAUGUUUUAUUUGUUAAUGUUUUCCAGAAGUAUUGAGAAUUUUAUACACUGAGGACUUGGUUGUGUUGCUACACUUUUUAUAUUACAGCUGAGUCUCAACACACAAAUGUAAUAUUUUUUCUAUACCUGUGUAAGACUUGAAAUGUUAAAACUAUUCAAAGAAAUA